rnacentral:tRNA from 1 species
GCCCUUGUAGUUUAGUAAAAUACUAAUCUUGUAAGUUAGAGAUGUUUUCCCGGGGGUA